GUAUGAUAGGAAAUUCUGGCCCACUGCCCGCAGUCCUGACUGUUGCGUCAGUGGCUUUACUGAGUCUGCUGACGCUGCUGUGUCUGCGAUGCAAAAGGAAACCCAAGAUCAUUCAAGAGGACCGUCAAAUAUACAAUCCACCAACGUUCCAACGUGGGGGGAGUCAGUUUGCAGUGAUGCGAUCAAAAACAGUAACCAAAACCAACCAGAUAUCAUCAUCAUUUGCAGCAGCAGCAGCUGAAACUUCAGAGCCAUCUGAACCUCAAGAAGAAGAUGAACAGUCAGACUACAUAAAUAUUGACGUCUGCGGAAGUGUGGAACGUGACUAUGUCAAUCCAAUCAGUGAGUCACUGUAUGUAAAUGAAAAAACCCUUAACAGCGGACAGGAUGACGUUCCAGGAGUGUAUGGAAAUGUUUUCCCAUCGAUAGAAUUAACAAACGACGACGACGACUAUGAAAAUUCAGACUUCCUGAACGCAGAUGUACAGGAAAAGACAGAAGCACCGGCAGCGGGUACUUCUCCAAAUGAUUCAUCACAAGAUGAGGCCGAUUACGUAAAUCAAGAUCCGCAAUGUACUUGAAAGAAGCAUCGGUGAGAAGAUGUGACCAUCCUGCACAGCUCUGCAAGUUAUCUGGUGGAAAACUGAAGCUGAAAACUGCUACUUUAAAAAAAGAUUCUCAUGUCUGUUUUACUGAUGUGCAAAUAACUGGACAGAUGUGUGUAUAAAUGCUUUUGGACACUGAAAGUGAAAACCAAGUCUGCCACCUGGUGGUGAAAUAAAUCAAUUUAAAUAUAGUGUAAACAACAAAUUUGUAGGGGUUUUUUUAAUCUUUGAUGAAAACCUUUUUCUUAAAAAAGAAAGGUUUUCAUUUUUUAAUUCAGUCUGCAUACGUAAAAAAAAAGUGAUGAAAAUGAUAAAAAAAAAAAAAAAACAUGAUAAAAUUAACUGAAACUGACCAGACAUGGGCUAUUAUUUGCUUUUUUUGCUCAUAUUCUAGAAUUUUUUUCAAAUUUAUGACACUGAUCCCUGUGAAAAAAGUAUAAUGUAUUACAAAGGAAGUAGACUUUAUUAUAUUAUAUACGCACGAUCAUUUGUAGUUGUAGUCAGAAGUUUACUUACUCUCAUCAUGGGCAUGAAGGUCAUGGUAAUUUUAGGCUUUUAAUGAUUUCUCUGAACUGAUCUUUUUCCAGGGUGGAAUGAUUGUACAGCAUACAUCUUUAAUGACUUUAGAAAAUAAGAACUGGGUGCACAAGUUUGAAUCUAUUUUGGAUUUUCUCUAAUCCGUACAGGCUCAAAUAUAUACAUACACCUCCACUAAUCUUUGGUUAAAUAUCCGUUGGUAAGCUUCUGGAAUUCAUUUCCUGGAUAUUUGAUUACUCUUCUUGGCAGUAUUGGUAGAGUUCAUUUAAACUGAUUGGUUUCCUGGCACAGGCACUGACCUGACGUUUAAGCACAGUCCACAAAUUUCCAGUAGGGUUGAAGUCAGAGCUUUGGGAAGGCCAUCCCAGAAGCUUUGUUAGCCUGGUCUAUCCAUUCUAAAAUCAGUUCUCAUGUGUGUUUGGGAUCAUUGUCCUGAUGGAAUACCCAAAAGUGUUAAAAGACUCGAGUAUAUGUAUGUAUUUCAGUUUGUAUGUAUACUUUUGACUCUGUGUGGAUUAAAGAAAAUCCAAAAGAUUUUUUUAAAAAUCAAUAAACAUGUAUGCUGUACAAUCUGGAAAAAGAUCAAAGACAUUCCCAUGAUUCCGAUGACAUUUAUGCCCACUCGUCAUGAUCAUUGUGUGUAAACUUCUCACCAAAACUAUAUGUGAAACAAAAACACAAAGAAUUGAUUCCAAGUAUGUCUCUCUCUGUAGUAAUUAACUUAUUUUAUUAUUAAUAAAAUAAAGUUAUUUGAUUAACUUAUUUUUGGUUUUAUUUUUGUUUUGCAAGUACGCAACAGUGUUUCAGUUUUACUUUGGUUUUUUUAAACAUUUUGGUUCCAUUUAAUGACAUUUUUUCAAACCUAUUUUUAGUCAUUAUAAUAACUGUGGUGUUAAAGUAUAUUAUGUUUACACAGUGAUUCUAUGUGGUAAAUAAUAAAGCCAGAGGGGUUUUUCUUCUUAAUAAAGCCAGAGUCAUGUAAAUCAUUUCGUCUUUAAUGGAUUGUUUUGAUAUGCUGGUGAAAGUCUUCAUUAAUAACUUCAAGGCAACAGCUUCUUAGUCCUCGGUGUGUUCAGACUCUGUCAGAUUAGCUGAUUAUAAAGUCAUAAAUUCAGGCUCAUGCAUCCCCUCACACAGCUAUUCUUAAAUUUGAAAACAAAACUAAGAAGCUUCUAAAGUGGCUCUUUGCCUAAAUAAAAGAAAACAUGACUGAGUCAAACAUGUACAGGAUUGUGGCUCUCAAACCUCCAGCCCAACUACGUGGGAGCAUCACCUGUUCACUGUGAUGCACAACAUCCAAUCAAAAUUACAUCAUUAAGAGACAUUUGUUGUCAAUCCUGGUACUACUUGUCCGAUCCAGAAUUUGAGCCCCCAUUACUCUCAUGAUGGUUUGUAUGCCGCUUAAACUUGAAGAGAAGCCGACUCGAGUCUACUAUUUAUGGUUAAUAAGGGUAACCUUUAAAGGUCAUGAGCUACUCUUAAUAUAUAAACUCCUACAUCUUUGGAAGAAGUCGGUUUUUGAGGACUUUUAUUAUGGUCACUCCUUUAAAAAUAAAUAAAAAUAUGCAGGUAGACCAGCAGAAGACCACAAAAUGUGUCUCACCAUCAGGAUUUGAACCCUGACACUGAAGUCAGGCAUGCCAGAGAGAUUUGGAGACGUUAUGAAGGGUCAACACUAAAUACAGAGACUCUUUGCAUACAUUUUAAUCAAUAGAAGUCCAUGCAAGUUUGAAUGCUUAUAUUUGAGCUUUACUAGAUUAUGGAAACAUGGAAAACAAAAUAAUAGCGCUGCUACACUUUAGUUUUACAAGUUCACAAAAUAAUUAUUUUAAUUUUUUACCCCCCCCCCCCCCCCCCUUUUUUUUUUAGUUUUAGUUCACCAAAAAGUUAAAUAACUUUGUUUUUAAGUUUACUAUAAACAAUUACUUUUUAUACAAUUAAUUUGAAACAUGGGAUUUGUGACACUAAAAAAACAAAAAGAAAACAACAACAAACAACAACACCACCACCACCACCUUUUGGCCGUUUCCUGCUACAAAACUUUCCUUUCCCGGUGAUGCAGAUAUCCCAGAACAAGCUUUAUCAUGUCAUCAGUUUCACCUUUAAAUGGCUGCAUUUCUAAUCACAGUAACACCUUCAAAUGAGGAGUCGUUCACAGCAGAGUUUUUACACAGACAGUUUUAUUAGCCUGAACAGAUCAGCCGAGACAUCUCAGUCUGAAGCCGCUCGAAACCAACAACCACCACAGAGGACAGACGACCAGAGCAGACGUUAGUGCCAACAGACAAAAUGUAACACACCAAGUUACCAUUUCUCUCAUAUAUAUACACUCUGCAUGUAUACACACUCAGGGUGGUGCAGUGACGUUCCCAGGGAGGCAAAAGUGACGCAGCAAAACAUUUACACACACACACGAGCCACUGUGGAAGUUUACAGUAAAGCAGACGCUGCUGUUUGAACCCAGAUUCAGUCAGUGCAGAGGC
ensembl:lncRNA